CCUACGGGUUGCAGCAGUGGGGAAUGUUGGGCAAUGGGCGAAAGCCUGAUCCAGCAAUGCCGCGUGUGUGAAGAAGGUCUACGGAUUGUAAAGCACUUUCGACGGGGACGAUGAUGACGGUACCCGUAGAAGAAGCCCCGGCUAACUUCGUGCCAGCAGCCGCGGUAAUACGAAAGGGGCUAGCGUUACUCGGAAUGACUGGGCGUAAAGGGCGCGUAGGCGGUUUAUGCAGUCAGAUGUGAAAUCCCCGGGCUUAACCUGGGAACUGCAUUUGAGACACAUAGACUAGAGGUCGAGAGAGGGUUGUGGAAUUCCCAGUGUAGAGGUGGAAUUCGUAGAUAUUGGGAAGAACACCGGUGGCGAAGGCGGCAACCUGGCUCGAUACUGACGCUGAGGCGCGAAAGCGUGGGGAGCAAACAGGAUUAGAUACCCGGGUAGUC
rnacentral:rRNA from 1 species